rnacentral:tRNA from 1 species
GUCAGGGUAGCUCAGUGGUAGAGCACCAGUAUCAUAAACUGGUCGUCGAGAGUUCGAUCCUCUCCCCUGACACAA